UACGUAGGGCGCAAGCGUUAUCCGGAAUUAUUGGGCGUAAAGAGCUCGUAGGCGGUUUGUUGCGUCGGCUGUGAAAUCCCGAGGCUCAACCUCGGAUCUGCAGUCGAUACGAGCAAACUAGAGUGUUGCAGGGGAGACUGGAAUUCCUGGUGUAGCGGUGAAAUGCGCAGAUAUCAGGAGGAACACCGGUGGCGAAGGCGGGUCUCUGGGCAACAACUGACGCUGAGGAGCGAAAGCGUGGGGAGCGAACAGG
rnacentral:rRNA from 1 species